GCGGUUGUGGUGGAAUUGGUAGACACGCUACUUUGAGGGGGUAGUGGGCAAUCGCCUGUAUCGGUUCGAGUCCGAUCAACCGCA
rnacentral:tRNA from 1 species